rnacentral:rRNA from 1 species
AUUGAACGCUGGCGGCAGGCCUAACACAUGCAAGUCGAGCGGGGUUUUCGGACCUAGCGGCGGACGGGUGAGUAAUGCGUGGGAAGCUGCCCGAUAGAGGGGGAUACCAGUUGGAAACGACUGUUAAUACUGCAUAAUGUCUACGGACCAAAGUGUGGGACCUUCGGGCCACAUGCUAUCGGAUGCGCCUACGUGGGAUU